AGAAGAAAGCACCGGCUAACUACCGUGCCACGCAGCCGCGGUAAUACGGAGGGUGCGAGCGUUAAUCGGAAUUACUGGGCGUAAAGACGCAUGCAGGUGGUUUGUUAAGUCAGAUGUGAAAGCCCGGGGCUCAACCUCGGAAUAGCAUUUGAAACUGGCAGACUAGAGUACUGUAGAGGGGGGUAGGAAUUUCAGGUGUAGCGGUGAAAUGCGUAGAGAUCUGAAGGAAUACCGGUGGCGAAGGCGGCCCCCUCGGACAGAUACUGACACUCAGAUGCGAAAGCGUGGGGAGCAAACAGGAUUAGAUACCCUGGUAG
rnacentral:rRNA from 1 species